CGCCGUGGCUGGCCCAACUGCAGAUUGUGCCCUCUCUGUAAGCAUGCACAGGAGUCUGUUGCUCACCUACUCUUCUAAUGCCGCUUCACAUUGUGCAUUUGGAACGACAUCCUACUGUGGCUUGGAAUGCACCACAUCUCUACUACUUCAUGGUCAACGAGCGCUUCGGUCCAAGGAUGGUGGAACGAUAACCUUCAGAUUCGUCUCGGCUCCCCCAAAGCCCUUGCCUCAUUGAUGAUUCUCAUCUCAUGGGAGAUUUGGUCCGCGAGAAAUGCUAGAGUCUUCCACAACGUGGCGGUCCCUUCGGUGGUCAUCAUUAAUAAGAUCAAGCAUGAGGUGUCGCUCUGGGUUUUGGUGGGUGCCAAGCACUUAGGUAUUGUAAUGCCGCGAGAGUAG
rnacentral:rRNA from 1 species